AUACCUUUCUCGGCCUUUUGGCUAAGAUCAAGUGUAGUAUCUGUUCUUAUCAGUUUAAUAUCUGAUACGUGGGUCAUCGAUCCACUAUGAUAUUAAAUUAAUUUCUUUUUGGGGGAGGGUCCACUACAGUGGCUUGCCACUGGGGCCCUCGCGCGUCGCCUCUGCGUUGCACUGCUGUAGGGGCCCGGCGCACCCCGA
rfam:Musa acuminata subsp. malaccensis Doubled-haploid Pahang (DH-Pahang) genomic chromosome, chr6